rnacentral:rRNA from 13 species
AGGGAGGAGAGGCUAAUGGUUAAUACCCAUUAGAUUAGACGUUACCUGCAGAAUAAGCACCGGCUAACUCUGUGCCAGCAGCCGCGGUAAUACAGAGGGUGCAAGCGUUAAUCGGAAUUACUGGGCGUAAAGCGAGUGUAGGUGGCUCAUUAAGUCACAUGUGAAAUCCCCGGGCUUAACCUGGGAACUGCAUGUGAUACUGGUGGUGCUAGAAUAUGUGAGAGGGAAGUAGAAUUCCAGGUGUAGCGGUAAAAUGCGUAGAGAUCUGGA